CCUACGGGUGGCAGCAGUGGGGAAUAUUGCACAAUGGGGGAAACCCUGAUGCAGCGACGCCGCGUGAGUGAAGAAGUAAUUCGUUACGUAAAGCUCUAUCAGCAGGGAAGAAACACUGACCUUACGGUCAGCAGACGGUACCUGAGUAAGAAGCCCCGGCUAACUACGUGCCAGCAGCCGCGGUAAUACGUAGGGGGCAAGCGUUAUCCGGAUUUACUGGGGGUAAAGGGAGCGUAGACGGUGCGCCAAGACGGGCGUGAAAUGCCGCGGCUUAACUGCGGAACUGCUUUGGAAACUGGCGAACUAGAGUGCGGGAAGGGUAGGCGGAAUUCCUGGUGUAGCGGUGAAAUGCGUAGAUAUUAGGAUGAACACCGGUGGCGAAGGCGGCUUACUGGACCGUAACUGACGUUGAGGCUCGAAAGCGUGGGGAGCAAACAGGAUUAGAUACCCCUGUAGUC
rnacentral:rRNA from 1 species